rnacentral:ribozyme from 13 species
AACCACACAUCAACCAAAAAGAAAGAAAGAAAAGAAAAAGAAAAAGAUCAAAAAACAAUUCUCUUUCUCUUUCUCCCUUUCUUUUUUUUUGUUUUGAGAGAUCGUUUUUUUUUACUCCA